rnacentral:rRNA from 1 species
CGCGUGCAGGAUGAAGGCUUCGGGUUGUAAACUGCUUUUGUACGGAACGAAACGGCUCACUCUAAUACGGUGGGCUAAUGACGGUACCGUAAGAAUAAGCACCGGCUAACUACGUGCCAGCAGCCGCGGUAAUACGUAGGGUGCGAGCGUUAAUCGGAAUUACUGGGCGUAAAGCGUGCGCAGGCGGUUAUGUAAGACAGAUGUGAAAUCCCCGGGCUCAACCUGGGACCUGCAUUUGUGACUGCAUAGCUAGAGUACGGUAGAGGGGGAUGGAAUUCCGCGUGUAGCAGUGAAAUGCGUAGAUAUGCGGAGGAACACCGAUGGCGAAGCAAUCCCCUGGACUGUACUGACGCUCAUGCACGAAAGCGUGGGGAGCAAACAGGAUUAGAUACCCUGGUAGUCCACCCCUAAACGAUGUCACUGGUUGUUGGGUCUUCCUGACUCA